CUUUCCAACUUGGGCCCGGCAGAAUGGCUCCCGCAAAGAAGGGUGGUGAGAAGAAAAAGGGCCGUUGUGCCAUCAACAAGGUGGUGACCUGUGAAUACACCAUCAACAUUCACCAGCGCAUCCAUGGAGUGGGCUUUAAGAAGCGUGCUCCUCGUGCACUCAAAGAGAUCCAGAAGUUUGCCGUGAAGAAGAUGGGGACUCCAGAUAUGCGCAUCGAUACCAGGCUCAACAAAGCUGUGUGGGCCAAAGGAAUAAGGAAUGUCCACUACUGGAUCUGUGUGCCGCUAUCUAGAAACCGGAAUGAGGAUGAAGACUCCCCAAACAAGCUCUAUGCUCUGGUAACCUAUGUCCUGUUACCACAUUCAAAAAUCUACAGACAGGCUGGGAAAAUGGCUCAGUGGACCGGUCCCUGCCACCUGCCGAUCGGUGGCCCUACCCACUGCCAGGCCUCCACUGCCCUGGCUUGUUCCCCAAAAAUGUGAGCGCGGCCUGCUCCACACGCCGCUUUCCCAUCGCGCUCGCCCGCCCGCGGGUCCGGGGCUACGUUGGUUGGCGGCGCCAAGGGCCGGGCUCGCUUCCCGGCCCGGGAGGGGGGCGGGGAGGGGAGAGAAGGGGGCGGCGCCCGGCGGGGCGGAGCUCCGGCGCCUCGCGGAGCCUUAUUCCCCACGGCGCGACGAAGGAGUGCUUAGUCCGCCCGAGGAGCUGCACGCGGCACGCGGCUGAUCGGCCUGACGGAGGUGUUAGGGCUCGGGCGCGGACCCCCGGGGAGCAGACCGACGCGCGGCGGCUGUGA